AUCAAUUUUGACAGCUGUUUAAUUUCAUUUACUUUACUGUCUGAAUUUCUGAAAUGACAGUUGCCUGCUGUCUUUUUAAACAUCAUGAAUAAUAUAUAGAUAACUUUUUUAUAUGAGCGCAAAAAUAUAUGCGGUCGUAUAUUGGUAUCACGUCGUUGUUGUCGUCGUCAUCAGCGUCGUCUGAAGACGGAUGGUUUCCGGAUAAUAACUUUAGUAUAAGUGAAUAGAAAUCAAUAGAAUUUUAACACAAUGUUUAUAACCACAAAAGGAAGGUUGGGAUUAAUAUUGGGGGUUAUGGUCCCAUAGAUUUAGGAAUAAGGGGCCCAAAGGGCCCAAAACAUACAUUAUCUAGUUUCAGGACAAUAAGUUGUGUAUACGUAUUUCAAUUACUCUGAAGUUCAUACCAUUAAGUAGAAGGUUGGGAUUUAUUUGAAGGGUUAUGGGACAAACUGUCUAGGAAUGAAGGGCCAAAAAGGGGCCAAAAACAAGCAUUUUUGAAGUUUUGGGACAAUAACUUAUGUUUAACUGUAUAGAUCUCUCUGACAUUGUACCACAAGGUUCCAUAUAAUGAAGGGAAGGCUUGGUGUCAGUUUGUGGUUAAUAUUCCUGAACAUUUAGGAAUAAGGGGCCAAAAAAGGGCCAGAAAGAAGCAUUUUUCUAGUUUACAGACAAUAACUUGUGUUUAAGUGUAUGGAUCUCUCUGAAAUAAUACUGCAAGGAUUGUUACUACAAAGGAAAGGCUGGAAUUGAGUUUUGGGUUUUUUGCUCCAAGGGGGGUUUCAAUAAGUGAGGGGCCAAAAAGGGGGCCCAAAUAAGCAUUUUUGUAGUUUUCAGUCAAUAACUUGUGUUUAAGUGGAUAAAUCUCUCUGAAAUUAUACCACAAAGUUCCAUACUACAGACGGAUGGUUACAGGGCGAAUGGAUUAAAUCAGUAAGCAAUUAGGGGCAAAAAAAGGGGG
rnacentral:lncRNA from 1 species